UACAGAGGUGGCAAGCGUUGUUCGGAAUUACUGGGCGUAAAGGGCGCGUAGGCGGCCUUCUAAGUCAGACGUGAAAUCCCCCGGCUUAACCUGGGAACUGCGUCUGAUACUGGGAGGCUUGAGUAUGGGAGAGGGAUGUAGAAUUCCAGGUGUAGCGGUGAAAUGCGUAGAUAUCUGGAGGAAUACCGGUGGCGAAGGCGGCCAUCUGGGACAACACUGACGCUGAGGCACGAAAGCGUGGGGAGCAAACAGG
rnacentral:rRNA from 1 species